rnacentral:rRNA from 1 species
AUUGAACGCUGGCGGCAGGCCUAACACAUGCAAGUCGAACGGUAACAGGAAGCAGCUUGCUGCUUCGCUGACGAGUGGCGGACGGGUGAGUAAUGUCUGGGAAACUGCCUGAUGGAGGGGGAUAACUACUGGAAACGGUAGCUAAUACCGCAUAACGUCGCAAGACCAAAGAGGGGGACCUUAGGGCCUCUUGCCAUCGGAUGUGCCCAGAUGGGAUUAGCUAGUAGGUGGGGUAACGGCUCACCUAGGCGACGAUCCCUAGCUGGUCUGAGAGGAUGACCAGCCACACUGGAACUGAGACACGGUCCAGACUCCUACGGGAGGCAGCAGUGGGGAAUAUUGCACAAUGGGCGCAAGCCUGAUGCAGCCAUGCCGCGUGUAUGAAGAAGGCCUUCGGGUUGUAAAGUACUUUCAGCGGGGAGGAAGGGAGUAAAGUUAAUACCUUGGCUCAUUGACGUUACCCGCAGAAGAAGCGCCGGCUAACUCCGUG